UAGAAAAGUGGAGGGAAAAAAUGCAUCGCCU
rnacentral:piRNA from 1 species